rnacentral:rRNA from 1 species
CAUCUACAGAAGCCAGCGGAGACGCAGGUGUGCCUUCGGGACCUGUAAGACAGGUGCUGCAUGGCUGUCGUCAGCUCGUGUUGUGAAAUGUUGGGUUAAGUCCCGCAACGAGCGCAACCCUUAUCCUUGUUUGCCAGCACUUCGGGUGGGAACUCCAGGGAGACUGCCGGUGAUAAACCGGAGGAAGGUGGGGACGACGUCAAGUCAUCAUGGCCCUUACGAGUAGGGCUACACACGUGCUACAAUGGCGCAUACAGAGGGCGGCCAACUUGCGAAAGUGAGCGAAUCCCAAAAAGUGCGUCGUAGUCCGGAUUGGAGUCUGCAACUCGACUCCAUGAAGUCGGAAUCGCUAGUAAUCGUGGAUCAGAAUGCCCCGGUGAAUACGUUCCCGGGCCUUGUACACCCCGCCCGUCACACCAUGGGAGUGGGCUGCAAAAGAAGUGGGUAGUUUAACCUUCGGGAGGACGCUCACCCCUUUGUGGUUCCUGACUGGGGGGAAGUUGUAACCAGGUAAACGAAGGGGGAAUUUCCACCCCACGGGCGCCCGUUAUAGGGGAAUCCAAAAUACG